AUUGAACGCUGGCGGCAGGCCUAACACAUGCAAGUCGAACGGUAACAGAAAGCAGCUUGCUGCUUUGCUGACGAGUGGCGGACGGGUGAGUAAUGUCUGGGAAACUGCCUGAUGGAGGGGGAUAACUACUGGAAACGGUAGCUAAUACCGCAUAACGUCGCAAGACCAAAGAGGGGGACCUUCGGGCCUCUUGCCAUCGGAUGUGCCCAGAUGGGAUUAGCUAGUAGGUGGGGUAACGGCUCACCUAGGCGACGAUCCCUAGCUGGUCUGAGAGGAUGACCAGCCACACUGGAACUGAGACACGGUCCAGACUCCUACGGGAGGCAGCAGUGGGGAAUAUUGCACAAUGGGCGCAAGACUGAUGCAGCCAUGCCGAGUGUAUGAAGAAGGCCUUCGGGUUGUAAAGUACUUUCAGCGGGGAGGAAGGGAGUAAAGUUAAUACCUUGGCUCAUUGACGUUACCCGCAGAAGAAGCACCGGCUAACUCCGUG
rnacentral:rRNA from 1 species